rnacentral:lncRNA from 1 species
GCAACCAAAGGGGAUACUAGUGUCACCUCUGAAAAUAACUCUGAUUUGCCAGAAAAGCAGGAAGAUAAAUUGGACGAAAAGCCUGCAGAGCAGUUUUCUGAUGAUACUAAGACAGAAAGUACCGAUUCCAAUGAGAGUGAGAAGAAACCUGAUUCUGAUGAAGGCGAGAAGAAACCUGAUUUUGAUGAAGGCGAGAAGAAACCUGAUUCUGAUGAGAGCGAGACGAAACCCGAUUCAGGUGAGAGCGAGACGAAACCCGAUUCUGAUGACAGUGAGAAGAAAUCUGAUUCCGAUGAUAACAAGCAGAGUGAUUCAGAUGGGACAGGGAAUAAAUCUGACUCUGUUGAAAGUGAAAAGAAACCUGAUGACUCCACUGAAACAACUGAUAAUAGGACCGAAGACAACGAGGAACAAAGUGGUAACAAAGAGUCUGAUGAAAGCUCUGAUAAGAAUAACACAGAUGACAAAGCCGACAACCAGAGUUCUAAUGAGGCAUUUCCUUCUGGGGC